GUCUAUAGCCAUUUAACCAUGAAUGUGUCCAAUCUUGGUUGAUCUCAGCAGCUAAGCAGGGUUGGGCCUGAUUAGUAACUUAGAUGGGAAAUUAUUUGGGAAUAUUAGAUGCAAUAGGCU
rnacentral:rRNA from 1 species